ACUGAAGCAAGUACAAGAGCUGUGCCUUUCGACUUCAAAAGCUAAAGGUAAGUUAACAUAAUUUAACCUCUGCCUACUUUGGUAAUUCGUCAGCAAUAUUGAAAACAAAAAUGUUUGUAAAAGACCAAGACUUCUGGUUGAAGUUAUUAACUUGUUAGCAAACAAAGCUAGCACACUUGACGUCAGCUAAGACCGCUAACCUAGCACAAUAAUUCAUUGAAGCCAUGUCGACUGAGCUAACGUCUCUCAUAUGUUUUAAACUAGUGCCAGGUAAUACAAUGUCAGAAAGUGUCCCUAGUAGUCUUGUUUGUAAAAAGUAAGCAAGUUCAGAGGAUUCAUUUAGUGUGAAUGUUGGUGAUAUAAUAGCUAGUAGCUGCAGUUAGCUCUUAGCUAACUAGCUACUCUAUAGGUUAAGGAUCCCCCACCCUGAGUAAAGCUUCGACUUGGAAGUUGAAGAUUUUUUUCUUUCUGAAAGAGUAACAACCCUUUUCUUUAAAUUACAGGUGGAGCAAUUGGACAAGACAACACAGUCACUUCUGGAAGCUGCACAGGCCAUUGCCUUGUUGGAGGCGCUCCCAAAAAUGUUCCCUUACCCAACCGCCCCUCCAAGAAAAGUCGGCAAGUGAGGCACUGUACCAUGUACCAUCAUUUGUGAAUUUCAUGUGUGUGGUUUAACUUCAUUCUGCCCCCCUCCCCCAAUUUCUUGCUUUCAGCCAUCUGAGGACCCC
rnacentral:lncRNA from 1 species